AGAGUUUGAUCCUGGCUCAGGACGAACGCUGGCGGCGUGCCUAAUACAUGCAAGUAGAACGCUGAAGAGAGGAGCUUGCUCUUCUUGGAUGAGUUGCGAACGGGUGAGUAACGCGUAGGUAACCUGCCUUGUAGCGGGGGAUAACUAUUGGAAACGAUAGCUAAUACCGCAUAACAAUGGAUGACCCAUGUCAUUUAUUUGAAAGGGGCAAAUGCUCCACUACAAGAUGGACCUGCGUUGUAUUAGCUAGUAGGUGAGGUAACGGCUCACCUAGGCGACGAUACAUAGCCGACCUGAGAGGGUGAUCGGCCACACUGGGACUGAGACACGGCCCAGACUCCUACGGGAGGCAGCAGUAGGGAAUCUUCGGCAAUGGGGGCAACCCUGACCGAGCAACGCCGCGUGAGUGAAGAAGGUUUUCGGAUCGUAAAGUUCUGUUGUAAGUCAAGAACGAGUGUGAGAGUGGAAAGUUCACACUGUGACGGUAGCUUACCAGAAAGGGACGGCUAACUACGUGCCAGCAGCCGCGGUAAUACGUAGGUCCCGAGCGUUGUCCGGAUUUAUUGGGCGUAAAGCGAGCGCAGGCGGUUUGAUAAGUCUGAAGUUAAAGGCUGUGGCUCAACCAUAGUUCGCUUUGGAAACUGUCAAACUUGAGUGCAGAAGGGGAGAGUGGAAUUCCAUGUGUAGCGGUGAAAUGCGUAGAUAUAUGGAGGAACACCGGUGGCGAAAGCGGCUCUCUGGUCUGUAACUGACGCUGAGGCUCGAAAGCGUGGGGAGCGAACAGGAUUAGAUACCCUGGUAGUCCACGCCGUAAACGAUGAGUGCUAGGUGUUGGAUCCUUUCCGGGAUUCAGUGCCGCAGCUAACGCAUUAAGCACUCCGCCUGGGGAGUACGACCGCAAGGUUGAAACUCAAAGGAAUUGACGGGGGCCCGCACAAGCGGUGGAGCAUGUGGUUUAAUUCGAAGCAACGCGAAGAACCUUACCAGGUCUUGACAUCCCGAUGCUAUUUCUAGAGAUAGAAAGUUACUUCGGUACAUCGGUGACAGGUGGUGCAUGGUUGUCGUCAGCUCGUGUCGUGAGAUGUUGGGUUAAGUCCCGCAACGAGCGCAACCCCUAUUGUUAGUUGCCAUCAUUCAGUUGGGCACUCUAGCGAGACUGCCGGUAAUAAACCGGAGGAAGGUGGGGAUGACGUCAAAUCAUCAUGCCCCUUAUGACCUGGGCUACACACGUGCUACAAUGGUUGGUACAACGAGUUGCGAGUCGGUGACGGCAAGCUAAUCUCUUAAAGCCAAUCUCAGUUCGGAUUGUAGGCUGCAACUCGCCUACAUGAAGUCGGAAUCGCUAGUAAUCGCGGAUCAGCACGCCGCGGUGAAUACGUUCCCGGGCCUUGUACACACCGCCCGUCACACCACGAGAGUUUGUAACACCCGAAGUCGGUGAGGUAACCUUUUGGAGCCAGCCGCCUAAGGUGGGAUAGAUGAUUGGGGUGAAGUCGUAACAAGGUA
rnacentral:rRNA from 1 species